rnacentral:rRNA from 1 species
ACGAACGCUGGCGGCGUGCCUAAUACAUGCAAGUCGAGCGGAAUGAUGAAGAAGCUUGCUUUCUUCUGAUUUUAGCGGCGGACGGGUGAGUAACACGUGGGCAACCUACCUUGUAGAUUGGGAUAACUCCGGGAAACCGGGGCUAAUACCGAAUAAUCCAUUUUGCUUCAUGGCGAGAUGUUAAAAGGCGGCUUCGGCUGUCACUACGAGAUGGGCCCGCGGCGCAUUAGCUAGUUGGUAGGGUAAUGGCCUACCAAGGCGACGAUGCGUAGCCGACCUGAGAGGGUGAUCGGCCACACUGGGACUGAGACACGGCCCAGACUCCUACGGGAGGCAGCAGUAGGGAAUCUUCCACAAUGGACGAAAGUCUGAUGGAGCAACGCCGCGUGAGUGAAGAAGGUUUUCGGAUCGUAAAACUCUGUUGUAAGGGAAGAACACGUACGAGAGUAACUGCUCGUACCUUGACGGUACCUUAUUAGAAAGCCACGGCUAACUACGUG